rnacentral:lncRNA from 10 species
UUCAGCAUUGAGAGUAUAGUCAGUGUGAUGUUUUUACCAGAGACUGUUGUAAUCCCAAAUGAAAAGGAAAUAUGUGGUGCUAUUGUGGAUGAAUACAGGCUGCUAUAGUUGAGCAUCAGAAAAUAAAUAUACAGGGUCCUAAGCUUCCCUGAUGGUAUUUGGCAUCUGUUUUUAAGAAAAGGAUGAAGGCCGGUCACAUUGGCUCACGACUGUAAUCCCAGCACUUUGGGAGGCCCAGGCGGGCAGAGGACUUGAGGGCCUAAACCCGGCCAACAUGACGAAACCCCAUCUCUACUAAAAAUACAAAACUUAGCCAGGCGUGGCAGUGCUCACCAGCUACUUGGGAGGUUGAGGCACAAGAAUUGCUUGAACCCAGGAGGCAGAGGUUGCAGUGAGCUGAGAUUGUGCCACUGCACUGUACUCCAGCCUGAGCAACAGAGCAUCCAAGAGGAUGCUGAUGCUCUUGGUAAGAUAUUUAUUGGACAAAUACCUUAUUUGUUCUCUCCUGCAGUUUUAAGUUCUUG